rnacentral:piRNA from 2 species
UGACUCCCAAGCCUGUGCAUUUUCCUUG